AAGACCUUAGUUAAAUAAUAACAGUAGUCUGUCAGCCUACAAUUACCUUUAGGUAGGCCUUA
rnacentral:tRNA from 1 species